UUCAUUUGAUGUUCACAAUAUCCCUGGGAGAAAGGUGCUCUCGUUUUCUCCAUUCCACUGAUGAGUAAACUAAAGCAGAAACUGGUUUCAUCAGACAUCAGAAGUGGUCCAGGAGCUUUGGCUGCCAUUUGACAUUGAUCUUUGUAUCGCAGACUUGGAAGGGAUGUGACCAAUACACCUUUCAAUAACAGUCACCCAAAACAGUCAGUGGUCAUCUGAUUUCCACUGAAAAAUCUGUUAAGAGAGUGGAUGGGGAACUACUCUCUCCAAAGCAACCUAUUCUAAUUUGGAAAUAUCUACCACUUUUUUCAAGAUCAUAAAUUUCCUUUUCAUUCA